rnacentral:rRNA from 1 species
AUUGAACGCUGGCGGCAUGCUUUACACAUGCAAGUCGAACGGCAGCGCGGGCUUCGGCCUGGAGUCGAGUGGCGAAAGGGAGAGAAAUGCAACGGAACGUGCCCCGUAGUGGGGGAUAGACCGGCGAAAGACGGAUUAAUACCGCAUACGCCCUGCGGGUGAACGCGGGGGACCGACAGGCCUCGCGCUAUUGGAGCGGCCGAUGUCGGAUUAGCUAGUUGGUGGGGUAAAGGCUUACCAAGGCGACGAUCCGUAGCUGGUCUGAGAGGACGACCAGCCACACUGGGACUGAGACACGGCCCAGACUCCUACGGGAGGCAGCAGUGUGGAAUCUUGCACAAUGGGGGCAACCCUGUUCCAGCCAUGCCUCUGGCCGUAAGAAGGCCUUCCGGUUGUAAACCUCUUUUGUUCGGGAAGAAGACCUCUGGGCUAAUACCUCGUGUGGAUGACGGUACCGGAAGAAUAAUCACCGGCUAACUACGUG